rnacentral:lncRNA from 1 species
ACCCAUGGCCAGAUACGGUGUGACAUUAGCACUUGCAAUAUUAAUAAUUGAGAUGGUUAUUAAUUCUACAAUUAGGGAACCUCAAGACAUUAUUGUUUUUGAACAACCUUGGAAUCAGCUAUAUUAUAUUGCAAAUAAGAUUUGGCUCACGAUGUGUAUUGAGGAUUGCAACAAACAAUUUAAAAGGGGCACGAGAAUGAAUGAACGUUGCGUGAAAGAGUGCUAUGGUAAAGCCUCUUAGUAAGUUAUGGUGAUUUUUUAUUAAUGAAAAAACGGUGGUUCCUUAUGGCUUAGCUUCUAGCAAUUCUAAUGUCAAAUAUAUUUAGAAGACAAUAAAAAUAAAAUUUAGAUCCUUUAAAUUUUAAAUUUUCACUUUAAAAAAUAAAAUGUAAUCUCUUACUCUUAAAUAAUUUUUUUUAUAUUUUUUUUAGUCUCAUCUAUGAAAUAAAUAGUGAAAGAUCAUAUUUUACCUUUUAAAGUAAAAUUCAAAAUUUAGAGGAUCCAAAUCCAUAAAAAUGCGUACAAAAUAGUUUUAAUUUUUUAUUUUGUAUUUAUUGAUUAUAUAUUAUUAAAAUGCAUUUGUCAAAACACUUAGAAGACAAUAAAAAUGAGUACAAAAUGCAUUUGUCAGCAUUCUUGUUGAUUUUGUCAAGUAACACCACAAUGGGUUGAUUAUUCUUUUUGUUUGGGUUUUAUUAAUGAAGAGUGACUUGGGCCUGUAACACUAGAUAAUUUAUCAAAACACUUUUGAACUAUUAAUCUAAUUAAAAUCAUGUUUAUCAUCACCAAAAAUAUUAUUAUUGUUUAUUAAACUCAACAGUAUGUUAGUGUCUAUUGAUACACUAAUAUAUAUAAUUUGUGGAGAGUAAAAUGAUGGUUACAAAACUAAUUAAAUCCUCUAUAUAUAUGGUAUUAAAUUGAAUAAUCAUGUUAAAUAUAUACUAAAAUUAAAAUAUAAAAUAUAUAUUUUUCCAUACUAACAUUAUAUUACACAUGGCAAAAGCCUAUCCAUGUUAUGUUGUCGAUGUUUUAAUAACUAAGCAAGGUAGAGGUUUGCACUCCCUCACGUCCAAUAUAUAAUAUUUAGCACUUUUUAAAAAUCAAUAUUUCAUACAAGUUUGUUAUACAAAUUAAAUAGCAUUAUUAUUGGACACUGGUAGUCUUUCAAGUUUCAACAUUCGUCGAAUUCAAAAGACAAUCAAACCUAACCAAAACAAUAAACGACUCUAAAUUAACACUUUCCUACUUCAAAGUUUUGUUAAUUGAUUAUAUUGAUAAUUAGUAGCUCUUAAUUAGUAUAUAUAUAUACAUGAACUAAACAUGCAAAAAACCUAGUCUACAAUAAAUAAGAGAAAGAGCCAUGACUAGAAAAGGUGUAGUAUUUUCACUUUGCAUAUUGAUGAUAAUUGUGGCGGUUAUCUAUUCUAGCGUUGGUGAAGUUGAUCAUGAUAUUAUUCCUCAAAAAGGUUAUUAUAUUGCAUCUUGGUCUGAUGAGUAUAUAAAGUGUGUCGAGAAAUGCGAGAGACUCUAUGGCGGUAGGGAUUUUCUCAUGGCCAUCCGAUGCAUUGGAAAAUGCAUGAAUUGAAGCAUGGCUAUUAGUACUUUAGUCUUUUGUAAUUUACAAAUUUCUAGAGAUCAAUAAAUUAUCGUCAAUAUAUAGAAUGUAGAUCCGGUGGCUGCCAGAGGCUAUAAUUCGUGUUCAAGCAAAGGCGAAUUUCUCAAGCUCUAAUAAUGGAGGAAUUUUUAGCUGUUAUUUAGUUUUAGAUUUCAAGUGGUAUUUCUGUCUUUUGCUUCUUUUCAGUUUUGUUGCUCUUAUGUCUCUUAGUUUAUUCGAGAAUUCUAGUUUUCAACCCAAACUACAAGAAAUUACUGAAUUAGCG